CAGGAUGUGAUGUGGCAGUUGGUAGUUGACCCACACUGCUUACUUUGAAUCACAGUUUGUCUUUAAGUUUCCACUUUAUCUUUUGUUCCAAUAAAUGCAAACUUGCUCAAACAGGUUUGUAGUGUCCCACACUGAAGUGUCUACAGAGUAAAGCAAGCCAUUGCAUUUAAUCAAAAAACUCCCAAGAAGAGGGAUGCAGGCAUGUGGUAGGCAUGUGGUAGGCCUAAUCAAGGCCUACAUUUGAAAUGAACAGGCCUUCAGUGGAUCAACAGCUUUCAAAGGAUUCUGCAAUUCAUCCAAUUUUGUGGCCCCUGCAAUCUAUAUUGUGAAUGUCAGCUGUCUACAGGAUCUAAUGUUACUCCAUCCUAUCUGUCUGUGGGGUACAAUCUGUUGGUGCUUCCUCUCGGCUGGCGGAGAAUGAGGAAAUCACACGGGGACAUCUGCGAGGACCUGUGAGACGCCAAGCACCUGAGCUCAACCAGAACGUCUGCUAUCAGGCUGUGUCUACACUGCGUGAUUACCACAACACAGAUAAGAAACCUUGUGAUUAUAAUAUUACAGCUGUCACAUUGACCCGCAGGCUUGAUGUAAACAAGGGUGUCGCUGCGCAGCUGCCGCUUUCUCUCGUAGUGAAAGUGUUUUGUGCAGUUGCAGGCGGUGCGUCAGAAACGUGCUGCGGCACGGAUGGUGUAAACAAAAGCAUUGACUAGAGUGGCUGCAGACGGUUGCAGUAAAGGUGUGACAGAUGCAUGAUGAUGGCGUGUGAAACCAGACCGGCACCAUCUGCGUUAAAAGCUAGCGUAUGGAAGCACUUUGGCUUCUGGCUGGAGGGGGAAAGACCCUGGACAAGAGCCACACUAUAUGCAAGUUGUCAAGCCAAACUAAAAUAUUGUGGAAACACAACAAAUAUGAGAAACCAUAUUACAUAUUAUGCUUAAGUCUGUAUUCAUUUGCUACAAGUAUGCUGCUACAGGCACAUGUUUCAUUUCCCGUUGGUUCUUUGUAACCUUGUUGUUGACUUGC